UGGGGAAUUUUGCACAAUGGGGGAAACCCUGAUGCAGCGACGCCGCGUGAUUUAGAAGGCCUUCGGGUUGUAAAAAUCUUUUCUAUGGGAAGAAAAUGACAGUACCAUAGGAAUAAGGACCGGCUAAUUACGUGCCAGCAGCCGCGGUAAUACGUAAGGUCCGAGCGUUGUCCGGAAUCAUUGGGCGUAAAGGGUACGUAGGCGGGUAAGCAAGUUAGAAGUGAAAUCCUAUAGCUCAACUAUAGUAAGCUUUUAAAACUGCUCAUCUUGAGGUAUGGAAGGGAAAGUAGAGUUCCUAGUGUAGCGGUGAAAUGCGCAGAUAUUAGGAGGAAUACCGGUGGCGAAGGCGACUUUCUGGCCAUAACCUGACGCUGAGGUACGAAAGCGUGGGUAGCAAACAGG
rnacentral:rRNA from 1 species